ACUGUGGGAGAUAUUUUACCACGGUAGAGACCAACCGUGGUUAAAAUUUCUUGAUAUUUACCACGGUUGUAGGCAACCGUGGUAAAAUGUCCACCCAAUUU
rnacentral:pre_miRNA from 1 species